UACGAAGGGUGCUAGCGUUGUUCGGAAUGACUGGGCGUAAAGGGCGCGUAGGCGGCCAGGUGCGUCUGAUGUGAAAUCCCUGGGCUUAACCUAGGAACUGCAUUGGAUACGGUCUGGCUAGAGUCCGCGAGAGGAAGAUGGAAUUGUGCGUGUAGAGGUGAAAUUCGUAGAUAUGCACAAGAACACCGGUGGCGAAGGCGAUCUUCUGGAGCGGUACUGACGCUAAGGCGCGAAAGCGUGGGGAGCAAACAGGAUUAGAACCUCC
rnacentral:rRNA from 1 species